rnacentral:rRNA from 1 species
UACGAAGGACCCAAGCGUUAUCCGGAUUUAUUGGGCUUAAAGGGUGCGUAGGCGGGUUAUUAAGUCAGUGGUGAAAGCCUGCAGCUUAACUGCAGAAUUGCCAUUGAUACUGAUGAUCUUGAGUAUGAUUGAGGUGGGCGGAAUGUGUCAUGUAGCGGUGAAAUGCUUAGAUAUGACACAGAACACCGAUUGCGAAGGCAGCUCACUAAGCCAUAACUGACGCUGAUGCACGAAAGCGUGGGGAGCAAACAGG